CACUGAGAAGCCUCGCGUUGAAACAAAAUACAGUGUAAUACAGUGAUGGUGUUCGACAUGCGCCCAAGGAUGACCGCGCUACGCAAUAAUUGAAACGGCGGUGCAGCAGGGGAGAGUUUGUUGCUUGUCGUGUGCGUACGGGCGAGCGCGGCACAUUAGAAGUGUGGUAGGUGAAUCGUUCAAGUGAUGUGCACUAUUUUUGUUAGCUUUGGGGAUCUCUAGUGGAGUGGUGAGUGACUAAAGAAGUAUUUGUUUUUUGUUCAGCCAGCCACUGUUGUUGUCUAUUUAUUUU